rnacentral:rRNA from 1 species
UACGGAGGGAGCUAGCGUUAUUCGGAAUUACUGGGCGUAAAGGGCGCGUAGGCGGCCACGACAAGUCACUUGUGAAAUCUCCGGGCUUAACUCGGAAAGGUCAAGUGAUACUGUCGGGCUAGAGUACAGAAGGGGCAACUGGAAUUCUCGGUGUAGCGGUGAAAUGCGUAGAUAUCGAGAGGAACACCUGCGGCGAAGGCGGGUUGCUGGGCUGAUACUGACGCUGAUGCGCGAAAGCCAGGGGAGCGAACGGG